rnacentral:rRNA from 1 species
CACGUAGGGCGCAAGCGUUGUCCGGAAUUAUUGGGCGUAAAGAGCUCGUAGGUGGUUUGUUACGUCCGCUGUGAAAUCCUAGGGCUUAACCCUGGGCUUGCAGUGGAUACGGGCAGACUAGAGGUAGGUAGGGGAGAAUGGAAUUCCUGGUGGUAGCGGUGAAAUGCGCAGAUAUCAGGAGGAACACCGGUGGCGAAGGCGGGUCUCUGGGCCGAUACUGACGCUGAGGAGCGAAAGCGUGGGGAGCGAACAGG